rnacentral:tRNA from 1 species
GCGCCCAUAGCUCAACUGGAUAGAGCACAGGCCUCCGGAGCCUGUGGUAUGGGUUCAACUCCCAUUGGGCGUA